ACCCGACCCAUAACUCGUGAUAAAACCCAACCCAAAAUAAUUAAAACUACCGUAAAUUAACACAAGAAUGUCGAUUCUCUGUUCUUAGUCUGGUUUCGAGAGCUUAGAAGUGAGGUGUGUUGAGAAAAAGAGAUUUCUAAAUCUUUGUAAGAAUAUAGCUAAUUCUCGGAUUUCAUCGGGUUUGAAACAGAUGGAUACAAGUAGUGGGUCAUCUAGUUUGAGUAGAUCGUCUGGAGCUCUAAAAAAGUGUAAUUGUGGAUUGCCUGCGAAGAUAUACAAACCCGACAAAACCCAGAAAAAAUCACAGACAAUAUCAACAAUAAGUUAAAAUCCAAAAACCCCAAUGUCGGGAUCUGUUUCGACUUUAUACACCCAAAUCAACCCAGAAAACUUGAGUUCUUACCUCAUUGGAACGAGAUUCCGUUACGAUUCACUCUCUAAGCUUUAAUCGUGACAAUAUUGGAGAAGAAAUGUGGCGAUUCGAAAAGUCCCUCUUCUACGCUCAUGAACCCUAAAUCGCAAAGAGAGAGUUUGAUUAUGGUCUCGGUAAUUACGUUUGUUGUUGUUAAAUUAGUGUUGGGCUGGGUGUAGGCCCAAUUAGUUUUUAGUUGGGUUUUUAUUAACUCGGGUUGGUUUUUGAUUGUGUCUGGGUCGGGAUUUAAUUAUUUGGGUCGGGUUUACAAUUGGGUAUCUCCGGUGCCGGAUUCCGUCGCGUCUUUCACCGGAACGGUACCGGAAUGUAUGUUUAUGGUGUUGGCACCAUAACUCAUGUUAGUUUGUGCAUGUCGUUAUGUGAUUGCAGUAGUUGGUAGCUAACGCAA